rnacentral:rRNA from 1 species
CCUACGGGAGGCAGCAGUGGGGAAUAUUGCACAAUGGGGGAAACCCUGAUGCAGCGACGCCGCGUGAAUGAAGACGUAUUUCGGUUUGUAAACUUCUAUCAGCAGGGAAGAAAAUGACGGUACCUGACUAAGAAGCCCCGGCUAACUACGUGCCAGCAGCCGCGGUAAUACGUAGGUGGCGAGCGUUAUCCGGAUUUACUGGGUGUAAAGGGAGCGUAGGCGGCGAUGCAAGUCAGAAGUGAAAGCCCGGGGCGCAACUCCGGGACUGCUUUUGAAACUGUAUGGCUAGAGUGCAGGAGAGGCGAAUGGAAUUCCUAGUGUAGCGGUGAAAUGCGUAGAUAUUAGGAGGAACACCAGUGGCGAAGGCGACUUGCUGGACUGUAAAUGACGCUGAGGCUCGAAAGCGUGGGGAGCAAACAGGAUUAGAUACCCGGGUAGUC